AACUUCAGCGGCAGCCAUCUCCACAUCUUGCAUGGUGACCAAACCUUUCUCUAUAGCCUCCUUCUGCUCCCUGCGCCAUUUCUUUAGGAGCUUGCGUUUGCGCUUUCCAGAGACAGAGAGGGGCUGAGGCUUAUUCUUGAGCUUCCCAGUAACUGGGUCUCCACGGAUCGCUCUUUUCCUCUCUGCUACUUGCUCUCUUCUUCUUUUCUGCACCACAUUGAACUUCGCCAUCUUCUCUCCGUCGCUCUCC
rnacentral:misc_RNA from 1 species